GACGAACGCUGGCGGCGUGCUUAACACAUGCAAGUCGAACGGAAAGGCCCUGCUUUUGUGGGGUGCUCGAGUGGCGAACGGGUGAGUAACACGUGAGUAACCUGCCAUUGACUUUGGGAUAACUUCAGGAAACUGGGGCUAAUACCGGAUAGGAGCUCCUGCUGCAUGGUGGGGGUUGGAAAGUUUCGGCGGUUGGGGAUGGACUCGCGGCUUAUCAGCUUGUUGGUGGGGUAGUGGCUUACCAAGGCUUUGACGGGUAGCCGGCCUGAGAGGGUGACCGGCCACAUUGGGACUGAGAUACGGCCCAGACUCCUACGGGAGGCAGCAGUGGGGAAUAUUGCACAAUGGGCGGAAGCCUGAUGCAGCAACGCCGCGUGCGGGAUGACGGCUUUCGGGUUGUAAACCGCUUUCGCCUGUGACGAAGCGUGAGUGACGGUAAUGGGUAAAGAAGCACCGGCUAACUACGUG
rnacentral:rRNA from 1 species